AAUAGAUACCCUGGUAGUCCACGCCGUAAACGAUGUGUGCUAUUAGUUCGAGGUAUCGACCCCUUGGGCUGAACAGCUAACGCGUUAAGCACACCGCCUGGGGAGUACGAGCGCAAGCUUAGAACUCAAAGGAAUUGACGGGGACCCGCACAUGCAGAGGAUGAUGUGGUUUAAUAUGAAGCUACGCGUAGAACCUUACCGAGGUUUGACAUCCCAGGAAGUCAGUCGAAAGACAGAUGUGCCUUUUGGAACCUGGUGACAGGUGCUGCAUGGCCGUCGUCAGCUCGUGUCGUGAGAUGUUGGGUUAAGUCCCGCAACGAGCGCAACCCUUAUUGUAUGUUGUAUUUUUCAUACGAAACUGCCCGGGCAACCGGGAGGAAGGUGGGGACGACGCCAGGUCGGCAUGGCCCUUACACCUCGGGCCACUCACGUCAUACAAUGGCCGGUACAAUGCGUCUUGCCAACCCGCGAGGGGGAGCUAAUCGCAUCAAAACCGGUCCCAGUUCGGAUAGCAGGCUGCAACUCGCCUG
rnacentral:rRNA from 1 species